rnacentral:rRNA from 1 species
GCGCCUACGGGACGCAGCAGUGAGGAAUAUUGGUCAAUGGACGGAAGUCUGAACCAGCCAUGCCGCGUGCAGGAAGACGGCUCUAUGAGUUGUAAACUGCUUUUGUACAAGGGUAAACCUGAAUACGUGUAUUCAGCUGAAAGUACUGUACGAAUAAGCAUCGGCUAACUCCGUGCCAGCAGCCGCGGUAAUACGGAGGAUGCGAGCGUUAUCCGGAUUUAUUGGGUUUAAAGGGUGCGUAGGCGGGCCUUCAGGCCGGCGGUAAAAUU